UGAAGGAUCUCUAGAGAAGUGAUGUGAC
rnacentral:piRNA from 1 species